rnacentral:rRNA from 1 species
ACGGAAGGCAGCAGUAGGGAAUUUUCGGCAAUGGGCGAAAGCCUGACCGAGCAACGCCGCGUGAACGAAGAAAUACUUCGGUAUGUAAAGUUCUUUUAUAAGGGACGAAAAAACAAAUUGACUGUACCUUAUGAAUAAGCUCCGGCUAACUACGUGCCAGCAGCCGCGGUAAUACGUAGGGAGCGAGCGUUAUCCGGAUUUAUUGGGCGUAAAGGGUGCGUAGACGGCACAUUAAGUUUCUUGUUAAAAUGCUAGGCUCAACCUAGUAAUGCAAGGGAUACUGAUGAGCUAGAGUAUGGAAGAGGCAAGUGGAACUCCAUGUGUAGCGGUAAAAUGCGUAAAUAUAUGGAAGAACACCAGUGGCGAAAGCGGCUCACUAGGCCAAAACUGACGCUGAGGCACGAAAGCGUGGGGAGCAAACAGGAUUAGAUACCCUGGUA